UACGUAGGGUGCAAGCGUUAAUCGGAAUUACUGGGCGUAAAGCGUGCGCAGGCGGCUUUGCAAGACAGAUGUGAAAUCCCCCGGGCUUAACCUGGGAACUGCAUUUGUGACUGCAUUUGCUAGAGUAUGGGGAGAGGGAAGCGGAAUUUCUGGUGGUAGCAGUGAAAUGCGUAGAUAUCAGAAGGAACAUCAGUGGCGAAAAGCGACUUCCUGGACCAAUACUACUCAUGUGCGAAAGCGUGGGGGAG
rnacentral:rRNA from 1 species